rnacentral:rRNA from 1 species
GGACGAACGCUGGCGGCGUGCUUAACACAUGCAAGUCGAACGGUGAAGCGCCUUCCUUUUUGGUGGGUGUGGAUGAGUGGCGAACGGGUGAGUAACACGUGAGUAACCUGCCCCCUUCUUCUGGAUAACCGCAUGAAAGUGUGGCUAAUACGGGAUAUUCUGGGUCUGUCGCAUGAUGGGUCUGGGAAAGAUAUUGUUUCGGUGGGGGAUGUGCUCGCGGCCUAUCAGCUUGUUGGUGGGGUGAUGGCCUACCAAGGCGGUGACGGGUAGCCGGCCUGAGAGGGUGGACGGCCACACUGGGACUGAGACACGGCCCAGACUGCUACGGGAGGCAGAAGUGGGGAAUAUUGCACAAUGGGCGCAAGCCUGAUGCAGCGACGCCGCGGGAGGGAUGGAGGCCUGCGGGUUGUGAACCUCUUUCGCCAGUGAAGCAGGCCUGCCUCGUUUGUGGGUGGGUUGACGGUAGCUGGAGAAGAAGCGCCGGCUAACUACGUG